rnacentral:rRNA from 1 species
UACGGGGGGGCAAGCGUUGUUCGGAAUUACUGGGCGUAAAGGGCUCGUAGGCGGCCAACUAAGUCAGACGUGAAAUCCCCAGGCUCAACCUGGGAACUGCGUCUGAUACUGGAUGGCUUGAAUCCGGGAGAGGGAUGCAGAAUUCCAGGUGUAGCGGUGAAAUGCGCAGAUAUCAGGAGGAACACCGGUGGCGAAGGCGGGUCUCUGGGCCGUAACUGACGCUGAGGAGCGAAAGCGUGGGGAGCGAACAGG